rnacentral:rRNA from 1 species
UAUAUCAGUGGCGCACGGGUGAGUAACGCGUAGGAAUCUGUCUAUUGGACAGGGAUAGCCUCUGGAAACGGAGGGUAAAACCUGGUAAGACCUGAGGGUGAGACGAGCGAUCGGCCGAUAGAGGAGCCUGCGUUAGAUUAGGCAGUUGGUGGGGUAACGGCCUACCAAACCGACGAUCUAUAGCUGGUCUGAGAGGAUGAUCAGCCACAUUGGGACUGAGACACGGCCCAAACUCC